AAGAUACUAGUAAAACAGUCAUUACACCGCCUUGUCAAGGCAGAGUCGCGAGUUAAACCCUCGCGUAUCUUA
rnacentral:tRNA from 1 species